GUGUAACUAAAUAAGACCUAGGUUUCUUCGUGUUGUGUGGAUUGGCGCCGGGCCACAUGGAUCCUCCCAUCACAUACAUGCAUACAUAAUACAGAACAAACAGGCAGUACGUAUACAGAUAAAUACUAAGUAAUUAAAUCAACUGCUAGUCUGCUACCGUACAAAGUGCAAAGACUUUUGCGGUUUAUUUUGGCAAUAUGGUUUGUGUUGCCUAUUACCUAAGUCGUCGCGUUUUGUUGCUUAGCAUUCAGCUGAUUAGUACAUGUCCCUCGGCCCAUUGACGGAUGCAGGAUUCCUGUGGAAUAUAGUAUUUUGUUUAAUGUGGAGAUAGCGUGAUUCCAUGAUGUGAUGACCUAACUAACGACGACCAAUUCCCCCUUUGGAGAUUUUCUAGUGGGCCGCUCAAUUUGAUUGUUAGCUAUAUCCAUCCGUGGUGAGGGGUUAUGCAUGAUGUUUGCACCAUAUCCGACAUCGUGUUAUUUAUUAGUGUAGUUGCAACUAUACCGCUGAAAUGGUUCUAGAAUCAAAACAAGAUAUGGUCCUUUAAGCCUCUAAUAAGAUAUAUAUGUCCCACUUAUAUCCUACUAGCUCGAGUUCUUUUUUUAUAUAUAAAGAUGAGCUACCUAGAUUUAGGCCUUGUUUAGUUUUUUUAAAAAAAUUAGUUUUGAGUACUGUAGCACUUUUCUUUUUAUUUUGGCUAUUAUUGUCCAAUCAUAGACUAAUUAGGCUCAAAAGAUUUAUGUCACGAUUUACAAGCAAACUGUGUAAUUGGUUUUUAUUUUCGUUUAUGUGAUGGAGAAUCUUGAAAAGUUUUUGAUUUUUAGGGUGAACUAAAUAAGGCCUUAUUAUAAAGUGUGUUGUAUUAAACUUCUUCUGAGAGGAUUGUUUGUACUCCGGUCUUCAGGCAUGCAGAAAUAUUUUUAGAAGCAAAACAAGGUCUUGGGUUUAUCAGGAACGAGCCUUUGUUCCCAAGUAACUUUCUUUACAUCAUUACAUGCAGGUCAUCCUGCAUUUUUUUUCUUUUUUUGCUUGUUGCUUUACGUCUAGAGAAACUUUCUGCCGUUUUAUUUUCUCCAGUACGUGGCUGCUGUGGUCCUGACCAUCGAUCGUGCACGUACCAGUCAGCAGGAUGCAUGUGCUCCAACUUCGCCGUCGAAACAACGCUACCUUCUAGAAGCAGAAGUUUUCUCAGAAGCAAAACUAGAUACAGUAGGCGUCAAGGCUUGGAUGGACGGUCCUCUUUUACCAGAUAAUUAGGACGUUGUUGACUGAUGAUCAGUCAGAAGGAAGCACAACUACAGAAUGAUGAAAAGCCGAUGGGACCGGUUAAAGUUGUUAAUGUUGGUCUAAACUCUCGAUCGUGAUGUGAAAUGCUUCUAGAAGGAAAACUCCAUGUGGAUGCUGCCCUGCCCCCUUCUUUUUCUUUCUUGGAUGGACAUUUUGUUUCCUUUGC
rnacentral:lncRNA from 1 species